UUUGGGAAGUGAGUUUGACCCGGCAGUAAUUUAAGGCAGGCGCAUACUAUAUACCGUUCAAGGAAAUACGGUAAUUUUAAUUUCUUACACACACUUGUUAUUCUCCUCCCCCUCUGGCCAACAUACUUCAUAUGUUGGCCAGAAGGGGAGCAUUUCAAAUUUUUACACACACUUGUUAUUUCAUAUAUUGACCAGAGGGGGAGCACUUCUAAAAUCAACACGCAGUCAAUAUGAAAAAUCCCUCCUAUUUGGGACCACCCUAAUUUAGAUAUAUUCCACCAGCAGGUGUGCAAAUGAGACAUUCUCUAUUAGAUGCAAUGCUUUUGCGUAUUGGGACCAUGAUGUCGGUCCCAACUUGUUCACCGGUCUUCAUAUGGAAGGUACUCUUCCUGGUUGAUGUCUCAUGAAGGGUAGAAAUACAAGAACACACACACAGGAUCGGUAUGGCUCGGUUGGUAGAGUGGCCGUGCCAGCAAUUUGUGGGUUGCAGGUUCGAUCCCCGCUUCCGCCAUCCUAGUCACUGCUCUUGUGUCCUUGGGCAAGACCCUUUACCCACCUGCUCUUAGUGCCACCCACACUGGUUUAAAAUGUAACUUAGAUAUUGGCUUUCACUAUGUAAAAGCGCUUGAGUCACUAGAGAAAAGCGCUAUAUAAAUUUAAUUCACUUUACUUCACUUCUCAGCUGAAAAUUGUUAACAUGAACUUACUUUGCUUUUGAUCAUGAUCCUAACUUGUCCCGUCUCCACGAUGAAGAAACAGUCCGCCAUGUCUCCCUGCGAGUGCCACAAAGACGUCACAUGACCACACGGCGUCCAAUCCGAGCUGACAGAAGUGUUACCUGCGCGAUGAUGCGCUCGCCAUCUUUGAAGCUCCGUGCUCCCAACACGUCCACGAUCUUCAUUCUCUCCGAGAGCUGCGGGGGGGAAAUACACCUAAAGCUAUUUUAUUUUCCACAAGAGAAACGCUUUUACCCUGGAACAGAUUAUUUGCCUUCCCAUUGAAAUCUAGGGGGAGAAAAAGUGUUCAAACCUCCAAAGACUUGAGGAGAGGAACACAUUCCACGAAGGCCUCGUACGUCCUCCUCUUCUUGGCGUUGUUCUUCACCAUCAGCCGGUGGAAGGUGGCUCUGUCCUGGAAGAAGCACACAGGAAGUGGUUGAGGUCUCCUGCAGGGGCGCCUGUGCACACGUGCAGGUGGCCCUUGGCAAAGGCCUGGUACCUGACUGCCUCCGAGCCAGAGAUACGGUGAAGACCUCAAUGGCGGAAGACGGUAGAUUUAAGAACUACCACAACGUCUGCGAUGGCAGAAGAAGGCUGCAGCAGUAAAGGGUCCCCAGUCGUCUUGGACUCCAUGCCACUGGACCCUGACCCAGAGCUGUCAAGGAUCGUGUGAUGUCCGUGCAUCAGUCUCCCCAUGUUAAACAAAGUCACACACAGGCAUCCUCCAUAAAGGGAUACCCCUCUACCAGUCAUAAACUUGUCAGAAAUAACAGAAUAAUAACAGAAAUUUCCAAAAUAACAGAAAAUAAAUAAUAAUAACAGUCAGAAAGGCACGCACAGGCGUCCUCCAUAAAGGGAUACCCUCCCUACCAGGACCUAAAAAAUUAAAAUGAAUCCUAAAUUUUUUUUAUCAUAAAGAAAAACAAUUAAUCAUAAAAAAUAUAAUAAAAAAAGAAAUAAUAUUGAUAACAUUAAGUACAGAAAUAGGAACACAUAUUUCACAACGAAAACAAUAAAAAUUAAAACAUUACAAAAAAUAAAAACAUUGAAAAAAUGAGCAAAAAUUUGAAAACAUGAAAACAUUACAUAUGGUUAUGUUAUUCAUAUCCAAAAAGGAGAGGGAAGAAGUGAAACUUAUUUACUCCCACCACUUAAUUUAGGUUGUGAGUUCAAACCCCGGCCGAGUCAUACCAAAGACUAUAAAAAUGGGACCCAUUACCUCCCUGCUUGGCACUCAGCAUCAAGGGUUGGAAUUGGGGGUUAAAUCACCAAAAACUGAUUCUCGGGUUAAUGUGAGUGGGACUAAUGAGGUAUAUUGCUGCACAUAUUCAGGAUCCUUUUUAUUAAUACAUAUUUUUAUUUGCUGAUGUAUAUAUAUUAUAUAGACUUGUUUUUUAUUUCAUUAAUUAGAGACUAUUUUAUGCUUUAUUUACCUUUUUUUAUUAUUAUUAUUUCCACAUGUAAGCAUAAAUAAUUGAGUUGAGUGCACUGACGCUCGGAGCUGUGGAGAGAGAUCUUGUUUACUGUGUGACGCCCUGUUUUUCUUUCCAUUCGAAAAAAAAAAAGGAAAAAGUGAAUAAAUCCUCCACGACUUAACUCCUGUGUGUGCAUCCCUAUAAAAGACAACGCAGAACAGUAACUGUUACAUACCGUAUUUCCUUGAAUUGCCGCAGGGCAUAUAGUAUGCGCCUGCUUUGAAUUACUGCCGGGUCAAACUCACUUUGCAAAAUAAUUAGUGCAUGCUUAGUUUCACUGCCUGGUCAAACUCCUGACACUUCCCCUGUCAUCAUUUUCAAAAUGGAGGAGGCUGAUUUCAAUACCGGUAAUUUGAAAUCGCAUAAAGGGAAGAAGAUUAAGAGCUAUUCAGCAGGAUUUAAGGUCCAAGAUUACAUCACACUCAAAUUUUUACUGCAUGCCUUUGGUAAGUGCCGGAGUGAGCAGUGGUUUUAAAAUAAUUAGCGCAUGCUUACUUUUACCGCAUGCCUUUGGUAAGCGCAGGAGUGAGAAAAGGUUUUAAAUUAAUUAGCGCCCCGGCGGCAAUUCAAGGAAAUACGGUAUACAAUGUAUAAUGUAAUGUGUCUAUCUGCAAUCUUUAUAAUUAAAAUUAAUGAAUUAGAAAUUAAUUAUUUUAGUCACUGUUUGAUAUUAAUAUGUAUUAAUAUAUUUUGCGCCUGUUCAUAAUUUCUUAUGUUACUGUAUGGAACUUGGUCCAAUCUUCUAUUUUGUGUGUUUUGCAGCAUCAUCUAUUGCAUGGAUUUUUGCCUACAAUUGCUCCUGCUGCGUUCGCUUAAUCAAUGACGCCUUUGCGGGUCGUUUUGCCGCCUCGCUUGUGGUUGCCCUGGCCCUGCAGAAUCUGCGUGAAAUGCUGCACGGCGAAUUCCACCAAGUUUGCGGGCCUGUGGCGAAGCACCUCCACCGUGUAUUUCUGCAGCAGCUCCUUCAGGCCGGCCGGGAUGUCGGCGGUACUCAUUGCUUGCCGUCAGAGCUCAUCCAACUCUGUGCUAAAAACACAUUAAGAGUCCCCUCUUUGCAUACUUGACAGCCGCUUCAUUGAUUGCGUUAUCUGGCACAGCCUGUUGGAAAGUAUCGACCCACUCUUUCCCCCCCAUGACUGCCUAAUGGCAAAAGAAGGACACUGGAAAAAUACGUGUUUUCACACUUUAUGCACCGCUAUUGGGCGGCUACACAUCCUUAAAAAGUCUAAUUACACAGAUUUCCUUUUUAUUCCCUACACGCUAACAUUCAUAGAGUGCUGAAUCAAUGUCAACAGUUGUGAAGUGUGUGUAUGUGGUCAGUGUGUGUAGUGUUGUAUUGCAGACACACUAUAAAAACAAAUAUACAUUGUCCCUGAUAUGUUCAGCUUCUCAAAGAAGGUAGAGGUACAGUAAGGCACCAAAUGUUCAAUUCCUUCACUGCUUCUCAGCAGAUAAAGCACUGCAGAACAACU